CGAAGCAGCAGGUCAAGCGACAUCUCUCCCGAAACUCGAGUACCGCAGGAGGCCGAUCAGAAGACGGGGACGCUGCCUCCCGCAGGGAUGGAGAGCAGGAGGGCCUUCGCAGGUCCAC